rnacentral:rRNA from 1 species
UACAGGGGGUGCAAACGUUGCUCGGAAUCAUUGGGCGUAAAGCGCACGUAGGCGGUCUGUUAUGUCGGAUGUGAAAGCCCUUGGCUCAACUGAGGAAGUGCAUCCGAAACUGGCAGGCUAGAGUACUAAAGAGGAUCGCGGAAUUCCCGGUGUAGAGGUGAAAUUCGUAGAUAUCGGGAGGAACACCGGUGGCGAAGGCAGCUCGCUGGGACGUCACUGACGCUGAGACGCGAAAGCGUGGGGAGCAAACAGG